rnacentral:misc_RNA from 1 species
AUUAACGCGGCGUUCGAGGUGUUUUCGGGGAAAUUGAAAGAGCUUGAAGGGAUUAUUGAUGCUAGAAAUAAUGAUAGUAAGUUGAAUAAUAGAAAUGGAGCUGGAGUUAUGCCUUAUGAAUUGUUGAAACCUUAUUCUGAACCUGGAGUUACUGGAAAAGGUGUACCUUAUAGUAUUUCAAUUUGAUUUUUUUGUGUGUGUA